rnacentral:tRNA from 1 species
GGAGAGCUGGCCGAGUGGUCUAAGGCGCAGCACUGGAAAUGCUGUGUACGGGGAACCGUACCGAGGGUUCGAAUCCCUCGCUCUCCG